rnacentral:lncRNA from 1 species
GAGACUUCCUCGUAUCGAUCACAAGCUCAGUCCCCGUAUUAACGUACCCCAGCAACCUCCCCGGGUAGUGCGUUAUGAGAUCAAUGGUGUUCCUCACGUGCAAAACUUUCACGUUCGUGUAGCUCUUCAGUCUUUCGUUAAAUGCUUUAUUCCCAACUUGUGGGCAACCGAACACAAACGCCGCCACAGGGAUGUCAGUGACCCCAUUUUCAGCCAAAUCAAAAGCGCUUAAAAUUGACAAGCUCGCACCCAAACUAUGCCCCGUGAAAAUUACACUCAGCUCCUCGCCUUGAUAACGUUCCCUCAACUCUUGAAUCUUGGACACUAACUGAGCCCUGGCACUCAGCUUCGUGAAUGACGAAUUGGGAUCUUCGGAAGUGUAAAUUGUAAGCCAUCCUUGCAUAACUUUCGGCACCGUCUCGUCAUCGUCGCAGUCGCUGCUGCU